UUCUGUUACUGGGCGCUGCUGUCGAGUGUGUCUUCCGAACUCGAACCGAAUCAUCAAAAUGGAGAAAAAGGUCGACGAGAAUGCCACCCUUAUGAACGGGGUGGAAACCACUGGACCGGCCCGUGAUGAUGUGCCGGAAACGUUCAGAGAAUUUCUCUACAACAAGAAAAAUGGAACCGUUAUGGGUAGAACCGGAAAGUCUUGGUUCCAGAUCAUCGUCUUCUACAUCAUCUUCUACGCAUUCUUGGCCGCCUUCUGGUUGACAUGCUUGACCAUCUUCAUGAAGACACUUGAUCCAAAAGUACCAAGAUUCUAUGGAAAAGGAACCAUCAUUGGAGUGAAUCCAGGAGUCGGAUAUCAGCCAUGGUUGAAGGAACGGCCAGAUUCGACACUGAUAAAAUACAAUCUCCGUGAUCAAAAAUCAUACAAAGCAUAUUUGGAACAGAUGAAGACGUAUUUGACGAAAUACGAUUCAAAUGCCACUGAGACUCGUGAGUGUGGAGCCGGAGAUAGCAAUGAUGAUCUUGAGAAAAAUCCAGAUGCUCUUCCUUGCCGUUUCGAUCUCUCAGUUUUCGAUAAAGGUUGUAGUGAGAAAUCCGAUUUCGGAUACAAGUCUGGAAAGCCAUGCGUCAUUAUUUCUUUGAAUCGUCUCAUCGGAUGGCGUCCAACUGAUUAUCAAGAGAAUUCCGUGCCAGAAGAAGUAAAAGACCGUUACAAGGCUGGAUCGAUUGCUAUAAAUUGCCGAGGAGCUACAAAUGUCGAUCAGGAACACAUUGGAAAAGUUACCUACAUGCCAUCAAAUGGAAUUGACGGACGCUAUUAUCCAUACGUUUUCACCAAGGGAUACCAACAACCAAUCGCAAUGGUCAAAUUCGACACAAUUCCACGAAAUAAGCUGGUGAUUGUUGAAUGCCGUGCAUAUGCUCUCAACAUCGAACACGACAUCUCCUCUCGACUCGGAAUGGUGUACUUUGAAGUGAUGGUUGAAGACAAGCCAGUUGAAGAGAAGAAAGAGUUGUAGAGUUAUUGUCAGAGCAGUGUACAAUCGCUAGGAUCUAAGUGCAUCUAUCUCAAUUACUUUCCAAUUAUCUCGUAGAAGUUAUUAGCUACUGUAGUUUGAACGAUAUCUGAAACCAACACCCCUCAGCAACAGCUUCAAUUUUAAAUCUUUAAUUUUUGCAGGAAUGCUCAUUUUUUGUUUUUCUUUACAUCCUCAGUUCUUUUAGUAUUGAAUCAUGUUUUUAUAUUCAGAAAUAAUCUAGUACUAUAAUCGCCUUAAGGAUAUGAUUUGAUAAUAAUAUGUGAAAUUUGCAAUCAAUUUUUGCUUAAUAAUCACAAUUUCCUUUUCAACUUAGUUCCACUGUCUUUUCGUUGAGCACUCUUUUCAGCUGCUCAGCGAAUUUCUUCUUCUCUCCGACGAGGCAGGUCUCUUCUCAUUUUGUCUUACUUUCUUUGUUUCCCAUUGCAUAGGUUUUCGGUGUGGAUGAGAUUGGCGUGGAGAUUGGUAUCCAUUUUUCGGAGACCACGCCUCUCUCCACGAUCGUUUUAUAUUAUCCCUUAUAAUUUUUUAAUUGUUUUAUUUCCAUUUUUGUUCAGUUCAAACUUUAAUUUUUGCCACAUGGAAUAUUAAAUAUUUUUCAAAAGAUUUUGAAAAAAAUCAUUAUUCCAUUUGCCAAAUUUUAAAGUUUAACUUCAAUGCUCACAGUAUCAGUUUUCAGCAUUUUUCCUUUUGAAACAUGCGUUUUACUGUGGGCUCUUCUCGAAUUUUUCUCGAGAAUUCUUUCCCACCAUCAUAUUAUCUCCUCUUCUCUCUUCCCCGCUGAAAAAAGAUUUCCAUCCCCUCUUCCCAUUCUUUCUAGGAUAAAACAAAUCAUUCGAAUGAUUUAUGAACAUUUUCUUUUUCUUAUCCCUCGCAUAUUGCUUUCAAAUUUCCUAUUUUCUCUUCGAUUUUUGUCAUCUACCUAAAUUGUCAAAAACCAGUACCCCCAUCACCAUCGCCACUUUCCCCCACCCAACUCGAUUUUUAUCGCAUUUUUUUUCGUUCCCAUCCCCCACUCACCCCGAUUUUUGUGUCUUCGAAUAAA
rnacentral:misc_RNA from 1 species